GGGGGCGUAGCUCAGCGGUAGAGCAGCGGCCUUUUAAGCCGCGUGUCAUGGGUUCGAUCCCCAUCGCCCUCACCA
rnacentral:tRNA from 1 species